UCCGGUUUGUCACCGGCAGUCCCAUUAGAGUGCUCAACUGAAUGUAGCAACUAAUGGCAAGGGUUGCGCUCGUUGCGGGACUUAACCCAACAUCUCACGACACGAGCUGACGACAGCCAUGCAGCACCUGUGUUCAGGUUCCCUUUCGGGCACGCCUGCGUCUCCGCAGGCUUCCUGACAUGUCAAGGGUAGGUAAGGUGGGGAUGACGUAGACCUUG
rnacentral:misc_RNA from 1 species